rnacentral:rRNA from 1 species
CAGUCGCCACGGGAAUACGUAGGUUCCGAGCGUUGUCCGGAUUCAUUGGGCGUAAAGCGAGCGCAGGCGGUUAGAUAAGUCUGAAGUUAAAGGCUGUGGCUUAACCAUAGUACGCUCUGGAAACUGUUUAACUUGAGUGCAAGAGGGGAGAGUGGAAUUCCAUGUGUAGCGGUGAAAUGCGUAGAUAUAUGGAGGAACACCGGUGGCGAAAGCGGCUCUCUGGUCUGUAACUGACGCUGAGGAGCGAAAGCGUGGGGAGCGAACAGGAUUAGAUACCCCUGUAGUCCCUGUCUCUUAUACA